rnacentral:lncRNA from 1 species
GAACGAAGCUGCUUCUCUAAUAGCCCCGUUGAAUAGGAGGGCGAAGGCUUUUUGAAAAAGUCUUUUUUGUCUUGUAAAUGCAUUUUUUUCUAUUUAGAGAGAGGGGGCUUCAAGUUCUUAGGAAGAGCCGUACGAGACAGCUCACGUACGGUUCGGGAGCCGAGCCCCCGCGCAGGGGCUUAGGUCAACACUUAUAUAAUAGCCAGUCAUCAAUUGGAAGCGGGCAAGAUGGUGAUGAAUUG